rnacentral:rRNA from 1 species
AACGAACGCUGGCGGCAGGCCUAACACAUGCAAGUCGAACGCUGCAGCAAUGCAGAGUGGCAGACGGGUGAGUAACACGUGGGAAUCUUCCUAUCGGUACGGAAUAGCUCAGGGAAACUUGGGGUAAUACCGUAUACGCCCUUACGGGGAAAGAUUUAUUGCCGAUAGAUGAGCCCGCGUCUGAUUAGCUAGUUGGUGAGGUAAUGGCUCACCAAGGCGACGAUCAGUAGCUGGUCUGAGAGGAUGACCAGCCACACUGGGACUGAGACGCGGCCCAGACUCCUACGGGAGGCAGCAGUGGGGAAUAUUGGACAAUGGGCGCAAGCCUGAUCCAGCCAGGCCGCGUGAGUGACGAAGGUCUUCGGAUUGUAAAGCUCUUUUGGCGGGGACGAUAAUGACGGUACCCGCAGAAUAAGCCCCGGCUAACUUCGUGCCAGCCGCCGCAGUAA